rnacentral:rRNA from 1 species
GGGACAAGCCCUGGAAACGGGGUCUAAUACCGGAUAUCACUUCCACUCGCAUGGGUGGGGGUCGAAAGCUCCGGCGGUGCAGGAUGAGCCCGCGGCCUAUCAGCUUGUUGGUGAGGUAAUGGCUCACCAAGGCGACGACGGGUAGCCGGCCUGAGAGGGCGACCGGCCACACUGGGACUGAGACACGGCCCAGACUCCUACGGGAGGCAGCAGUGGGGAAUAUUGCACAAUGGGCGAAAGCCUGAUGCAGCGACGCCGCGUGAGGGAUGACGGCCUUCGGGUUGUAAACCUCUUUCAGCAGGGAAGAAGCGAAAGUGACGGUACCUGCAGAAGAAGCGCCGGCUAACUACGUGCCAGCAGCCGCGGUAAUACGUAGGGCGCAAGCGUUGUCCGGAAUUAUUGGGCGUAAAGAGCUCGUAGGCGGCUUGUCACGUCGGGUGUGAAAGCCCGGGGCUUAACCCCGGGUCUGCAUUCGAUACGGGCUAGCUAGAGUGUGGUAGGGGAGAUCGGAAUUCCUGGUGUAGCGGUGAAAUGCGCAGAUAUCAGGAGGAACACCGGUGGCGAAGGCGGAUCUCUGGGCCAUUACUGACGCUGAGGAGCGAAAGCGUGGGGAGCGAACAGGAUUAGAUACCCUGGUAGUCCACGCCGUAAACGGUGGGAACUAGGUGUUGGCGACAUUCCACGUCGUCGGUGCCGCAGCUAACGCAUUAAGUUCCCCGCCU